AGAGCCAUCGCACUGACCGUCCUGCCACACAAACACUGCAGGCCGAGACAGCCAAUCAGAAUGCAGAACUGGAGGCGCUGCGUGCCCAGCUGGUGCGUCUGCAGGCAGAGAAGAGUGACUGGUGGCCAUAAACUCUGAACUCCAGCUCAAGACAGGUCAGGGGUCAGAGGACGACUCCUUCAUAGAGAUCAGGAUUGCUAGAGAGGAUACUGGAAAGGCCUGUAUCAUAAUGAAAGGGACCCCAGGUAUGACAUGAGUGUAUCAGGCAGGAGUCUGAGGAGCUGACUCUCAGCCAGCUGCUCCAGUCCCUGAGGAAGGAGACCCAGAGGGUGGAAUGGCUACAAAUCGAGCUCCAGGCUACCAAAUCCAGAAUCACAGAGCUGGAGGAGAAAGAAACUAACACGGAGAGCUCCACACAGACCUCACUACUGCCAGGGUGGUUUCCCCAGCUAGCCACCACAGCAUGUGGUACUGAGCCAGAACAGAACUCUGAGAAGGUAGAUGCACAGAUAGGCUGGGUAAGAGCUUGUCUCACCCUGUAAGAACAGGGAAGUUAAUGAGAUUGAAAUGUAUUAAUGUACAAUAUGUAAUGGGAAUUAAAGAAGUUACAGAUAAAGUAAAUCAAUGGUUUAAUACAGUUGCAACAGGGAGACACCUCCAGCAGAGAAGCAGGCUCUUAUAUUCUAAUUUCACAGCACCAAUGCUCUGUAAACACCUGCCGAGAGGCUUGUAGGAAGUCACAACAUCAGCUGCUACAGAAUCAGUGUCCCAGAAUACAAUAACAAUCAGUGUCCUCGGUCCUCGUACCUCCAGUCUGGCGUCAAUCACUAUCAGAUAUGCACAUCCAUAACUUUCAGCAUCAAGUUUAGUGACCAUCAACCAGAAAGUUUCCCAA